UGAGGAUGUAGUUCAGUGGUACAGUGCUUGCCUAGCACGUGAGAGGUCAUGGGUUUGACCCUUCACCACAA
rnacentral:tRNA from 1 species